GCAAAACAUUCUUUAAAAUUAUGAGUUUUUUUACAUAAUAAUAAAGCAAUAUCCAAGUAUAUUUCUUUAAAAUGUCCUCGAAAACCGAGGAGGCAGCGCCUCGCGACUGUUUGGGCUGCAGGAUUGUCGGAGCUGUUGGCCUGAUCGGAAUUGGAGGUUACCUUGCAAAUUUAGCGUUUAAAAACAAAACUCUGCCUGGAAGAAUACUGGUUUCUACUUUUUCCCUCACAUUUGUGAGUCUAGGCAUAGCAAGGUAUAAACAGACUUUCCCAUUUGAAAAGAGAUCAUCGGAGGCAGUGGAAUGGAAAUCAUAAAACUUUAUCACUUUAUUGUUAUUUAGUCUUUAUUAAUUUAAGGUGAAUUAAAAUAUGUAGAUUUAAAA